AUUGAACGCUGGCGGCAUGCCUUACACAUGCAAGUCGAACGGCAGCACGGGAGCAAUCCUGGUGGCGAGUGGCGAACGGGUGAGUAAUAUAUCGGAACGUGCCCAGUCGUGGGGGAUAACGCAGCGAAAGCUGUGCUAAUACCGCAUACGAUCCAUGGAUGAAAGCGGGGGAUCGCAAGACCUCGCGCGAUUGGAGCGGCCGAUAUCAGAUUAGCUAGUUGGUGAGGUAAAGGCUCACCAAGGCGACGAUCUGUAGCUGGUCUGAGAGGACGACCAGCCAAACUGGAACUGAGACACGGUCCAGACUCCUACGGGAGGCAGCAGUGGGGAAUUUUGGACAAUGGGCGCAAGCCUGAUCCAGCAAUGCCGCGUGCAGGAUGAAGGCCUUCGGGUUGUAAACUGCUUUUGUACGGAGCGAAAAGGCUUCUCCUAAUACGAGAGGCUCAUGACGGUACCGUAAGAAUAAGCACCGGCUAACUACGUGCCAGCAGCCGCAGUAA
rnacentral:rRNA from 1 species